AUUGAACGCUGGCGGCAGGCUUAACACAUGCAAGUCGAACGAGUGGCGGACGGGUGAGUAAUGCUUGGGAAUCUAGCUUAGGGAGGGGGAUAACUACGGGAAACUGUAGCUAAUACCGCGUACCAUAGGAUGAGCCAAAGUGGGAUGAGGUAGUUGGUGAGGGAAAGGGUCACAAAGCCGACGAUCUCUAGCUGGUCUGAGAGGAUGACCAGCCACACUGGGACUGGGACACGUCCCAGACUCCUACGGGAGGCAUCAGUGGGGAAUAUUGCGCAAUGGGGGCAACCUGACGCAGCCAUGCCGCGUGAAUGAAGAAGGCCUUCGGGUUGUAAAGUUCUUUCGGUAGCGAGGCGUUAACUACAGAAGAAGCACCGACUAACUCCGUGCCAGCAGCCGCGGUGAUAC
rnacentral:rRNA from 1 species